ACUCCAUUCAGCAGCUUCUUCAAUUUGGCUUCAAAGCAUUUAAACCAUGUGAAACUUCUGUAUUGAAAAAGAGAUCGUUCAAAAGGAACAUUUUCCGUUUGCAGCAGGGAACGAUCUUUCACAACAUCUUCCACCUUUGUAUAUAUCACAUAUAAACAGAUCCCCCUUUUUUUUUCAAAUUGUAGGAGGAAUUAUGAACAUAAAUAAUUUGUACAUUAAAAACAAUUUCCUCCAUUACUUUUUCUCUUCUUUUUUUUUUUUUGAUUACAACAACCAUGGAACUCACGAAUUGAGAAUGAAAAUAUGUUCCAUUUCACCAGUCAUAGCCAUACCACAAAUCCAGACAC
rnacentral:lncRNA from 1 species